GUAGGGAAUCUUGCGCAAUGGGCGAAAGCCUGACGCAGCCAUGCCGCGUGAAUGGUGAAGGUCUUAGGAUUGUAAAAUUCUUUCACCGGGGACGAUAAUGACGGUACCCGGAGAAGAAGCCCCGGCUAACUUCGUGCCAGCAGCCGCGGUAAUACGAAGGGGGCUAGCGUUGCUCGGAAUUACUGGGCGUAAAGGGCGCGUAGGCGGACAGUUUAGUCAGAGGUGAAAGCCCAGGGCUCAACCUUGGAAUUGCCUUUGAUACUGGCUGUCUUGAGUACGGGAGAGGUGAGUGGAACUCCGAGUGUAGAGGUGAAAUUCGUAGAUAUUCGGAAGAACACCAGUGGCGAAGGCGACUCACUGGCCCGUUACUGACGCUGAGGCGCGAAAGCGUGGGGAGCAAACAGGAUUAGAAACCCUAGUAGUCC
rnacentral:rRNA from 1 species